AGAGUUUGAUCCUGGCUCAGGACGAACGCUGGCGGCGCGCUUAACACAUGCAAGUCGAGCGAGAACCAGUCCUUCGGGGCUGGGGACAGCGGCGAACGGGUGAGUAACACGUGGGUAAUCUGCCCUCGGCACCGGAAUAGCCCGGGGAAACCCGGAUUAAUGCCGGAUGGCCUCUCUGCCCUACGGGGCGGCGAGAAAAGGUAGCUUUGGCCUCCGGCCGAGGAUGAGCCCGCGGCCGAUUAGCUUGUUGGUGAGGUAACGGCUCACCAAGGCGACGAUCGGUAGCUGGUCUGAGAGGACGAUCAGCCACACUGGGACUGAGACACGGCCCAGACUCCUACGGGAGGCAGCAGUGGGGAAUCUUGCGCAAUGGGCGAAAGCCUGACGCAGCGACGCCGCGUGCGGGAAGAAGGCCUUCGGGUUGUAAACCGCUUUCAGGGGGGACGAAGCCACUCAGGUUAAUAGCCGAGAGGGUGACGGUACCUCCAGAAGAAGCCCGGCUAACUACGUGCCAGCAGCCGCGGUA
rnacentral:rRNA from 1 species